ACUCCCUUCUCUUCCUUUUUUUCUGGAUCAGAGAAAAUAGUGAUCAUAACAAGAGACGAUGAGAAGCAGGUGGAGACGGGUGUAAGUGGUUUCUCCCGUGCGGUUGGCUCGUCAGGGCGAUAGCAUGGAGGCGGAGCUCCAUGUGGUGGCGACGAGAUCCAUCGCCACGGCGAUGGGUAAUUGGCGUCAGCGAGAUGAGUUGCCGACAAUGGUGCCUGCAUCUAGCGGCAACCUCGACGACGGCGUGCACGGCCAAGCAGCGGAGGCAGCAUCCACGAGGAGGCCGAUUCACAGCUGCACGAGAAAAUCGUCAUCCAUGUCGAUGCUGACAACGAGAUGGUCGGCGAUGAGGCUCCACCGUACAAGGAGGUCAGGCGUGAGGGAGGACGGCAUCCACUGGGAUCUACACUGUGACUGACGGCCUGCGGGCUCGAUACGGCGGCAUGGUGGCUACCUUGAUCCUGGACAGCUUGGGGACGAACAGGUGCUGGCCCAGACGCAUGCGGCACCCACAGCCACGACGGGGGAGGCGGCACAUGAACUGGUAGCUUAUUGUUUUCUUGUUGCUAUUCUAAUUCCUGUUCUCUGGUUAUGCUAAUGCUAACUCUAUGAAGGUUCUUCUUUACUAUGGCCAUAAGCUGCACGUAACAGCAGGGAUCCCCUCAUGUAGAUGUCGUUGUCAAAGGAUGGUGCUGCUGGCAGAGUACAGAGUUUGGCUGCAGGGCUCAAGCAAGAGAAACGAAUAAUUGCAGUAGAAGCCGAGCAAGGUGCCCUCUCCCUGCUCACAGCAUGUUCGACAAAAUGUCUAUGAGAGCAAGAAGAUCUGAAGGUUAGUUUCCCUUUACAGUGAAGGUACCAUUAUUUCCAUUCAUGGUUUAUUGUUGAGAGCUUUAUAAGAAAUUAAUCAUGGUUCAUUAUUAAAAUGCACCCAGUUCGUAGUUACUUUUUUUUUUUUGUUAAAGAUGCAAUUUGUGAUUUUCUGCUUCUAAUUGAAGCAAUUCUUGAUUUCUCGCAAGAUACAGUUGUGAUUUUAUAUAUAUAUAUAUAUAUAUAUAUAUAUAUAUAUAUAUAUGUGCGUGCUUGGGAUGAUGCUACCGUAGCUAUGGUGUUUUGGGUUGCAACUGGGCUAUGUUUUUUUGGCUCCUUUAUUUUCUUCUUCUGAAAUUUUGGAUAGAUGAAAUCUCAAGGAGCUUGAUUGGAUAGCAAUUCUCUGCAAUUUUGUGGUUCAACUGAGCAAAUCGAUACAUUUUUUUUGAACUGCACACUGCAUAUGAUCCUAUUGAUUGUAAGAAUGUUCAAUUUUUUUUUAUCCAUGAGCGGUGGUGAUGUGUAUUUUUUUAUAGAGUAAAUUUCACAAAACUACACGUUCUGUGGUCCAAGUUGAAAACUACACACACUUUGACACUUAACACUUAAGUACAUAUAUUCCGGUAGUGUAGUUUCACAAAACCACAUAUUCGAUGAAUGGAUUCACCCGUGAGAUGAAGUGGUUGUUUCACCUAAGAUGAAGACAUGGCAUCCUAUUACCAGCCAUCGCACGAAAUUAAUAGGAUACCACAUCCUCAUCCUAAAUGGAACAACCACGUCAUCUUACGGCUGAAUCCAUUCAUCAAUAGUGUAGUAUUGUGAAACUAAACUACCAAAAUAUACGUACUCAAGUGUUAAGUGUCAAAAUAUGUGUGGUUUUCUGCAACUUGAUCCAUAAAACAUGUAGUUUUGUGAAUUUUACUCUUUUUUUUUUGAAUGAGCGUUGGUUCUGUUGCGGUGGGUCAGCCCCGUUGAUGACAUCAAUCCUGCAUGGGCAGGGAGCUGCGUACAUCACGAUGAGUCGGCUAGCUACAAGAUGGACUGGCCGGUAGCUUACCGACGUACCGCCUGUGGCCUUACCGCCCUCUACCAAGCAGCAACAUAACAGAUCUAUUCUUUUUUAAAAAAAAAUUGCUCACUGCUCACUACAUAUGGUCCUAUCCAAUAGAGUAAUGUUACUCUGAAUAUGUCGACACCACAGCUGGUUUCAUAUUUUAAGAUACCACUCAGUCAAGUUCUUGUGGUAAAUAUUGUCAAUUUGUCAUUGCUUCCAUCAGUUACUACUACAUCAUAACAACCGAUCUAAUUCACUCUUGCAGAAUUGGAUAAACAAUGAUGGGAAUAGUAGUGCUAGACCAUCAGCUGGUGGAUUGAUUUUCUUGUGGAUGGUGACUGAGUCUAGUGCCAGCCAUAUCCAUCAUUGUUGGUGUUGUAAUUUUUUAUUUGUUUUUGUGCAUUCUACCAAUCUAUCGCAUUGCGUGUGUGAUCAAACAGUCGUUGUAAUACUAAAUCCUGUCCAAACAUUUUCUGG